UUUCUCUAGUUUUCUUUCCCUCCCUAGGAAGGGUAGCUGGAAGGAUUAAUUGACUAUUUAAUUUCUCAGUCAACACUCAACAGUAUUAAUUAAGAAAUCAGCUUCCAUGUUUUUAAAUUCUAACUUCUGAUCUCUCUCUGUGAUCUCUCUCUAGCUUGAUCAUCAGCAGACAUGAUAACGAGUGUGGUCUCUCAAAUGGCACCAAAGAGUGAUGGAUCAUCGGCAAAGAAAGUAAGGAACAAAGGAGCAUGGACAGCAGAGGAAGAUCAAAAACUGUCUCAGUACAUUGAAAUCCAUGGAGCCAAGAGGUGGGAAACAGUUGCCGCUGCAGCAGGUUAUAAUAACGUCAUAUCUCUUGAGAUAAUACAUAAUCUGAUCAGUCCACAAGAAAGGAACAAAAAAAAGAAAGUUUGAUUCGAUGCGGGAAGAGUUGCAGACUGAGAUGGCCAAAUUAUCUGAGGCCCAACAUCGAAAGAGGCAACAUUUCAGAUGCAGAAGAGGACUUGAUACUUAGGCUUCAUAAACUACUAGGGAACGGGUAAUUAUUUCUGGAUUAACAGCUUAAAGCUGCUGGAAGAAGUUAAACAUGAUUGUUUUCGCGUUCAAUACCA